GAGAGAGAGAGAGAGAAGGAAGAAAAAGAAACAAGAGGAAGAGUGAGUGUGUGUGUGUGUGUGUGUGUGUAUGUGUUUGUGUUGCAAUAUUUCAUACUUAUCAUGAUCAAUUAGUGGGCAAGACAAAGCCGAAACCAUAAAAGUUGGAUUAGUUUAGAAUGAUAAACUUUUAUUUAUAUCUUGUACACUUAUAAGAUUAUUAUUACUAUUUUCUAUAAAGGAAAUGUAUUUUAAC